rnacentral:rRNA from 1 species
GACGAACGCUGGCGGCGUGCCUAACACAUGCAAGUCGAACGGAGAACUUGAGGAAUGCGACUUCGGUCAAAUGAAACUUGUUCUUAGUGGCGGACGGGUGAGUAACACGUGAGCAACCUGCCUUUCAGAGGGGAAUAACGGCUGGAAACGGUCGCUAAUACCGCAUGAUAUACAUUUAAGGCAUCUUAGAUGUAUCAAAGAUUUUAUCGCUGAGAGAUGGGCUCGCGUCUGAUUAGCUAGUUGGCGGGGUAACGGCCCACCAAGGCGACGAUCAGUAGCCGGUCUGAGAGGAUGAACGGCCACAUUGGGACUGAGAUACGGCCCAG